rnacentral:lncRNA from 1 species
AAAAAAAUAAUUAAAUAAUCACUGAAAAAUUCAAAAAAAUAAUAAUAAUAAGGACGAGUUAUGUUUGUGUGUGUCUGUGUCUUGUAAUUUUUUAAGUAUGAUUAUUCAUUGAGCUAUGUGGGUGUUAAAAAAGAAUUAAAAAAAAUCAAUGAAAAUUUAAAAAAAAAUCAAUAUUAAGGAUGGUAUGUGUGUGUGUGUCUUAUUUGUUUUAAGUAGGAAUAUUCAUGGAGCUAUGUG